rnacentral:rRNA from 1 species
CCUACGGGUGGCAGCAGUGAGGAAUAUUGGUCAAUGGCCGGAAGGCUGAACCAGCCAUGCCGCGUGAAGGGCAGGGCCCUAUGGGCGUUAAACUUCUUUUGUGCGGGAGCAAUAAUGGUCACGUGUGGCCAGACGAGAGUACCGUACGAAUAAGCAUCGGCUAACUCCGGGCCAGCAGCCGCGGUAAUACGGGGGAUGCAAGCUUUAUCCGGAGUUAUUGGGGUUAAAGGGGGCGUAGGCUGUGAGGUAAGUCAGCGGUGAAAUGCCCCCGCUCAACGGGGUGAAGUGCCAUUGAUACUGCCUUGCUGGAAUGCGGAUGCCGUGGGAGGAAUGUGUGGUGUAGCGGUGAAAUGCAUAGAUAUCACACAGAACACCGAUUGCGAAGGCAUCUCACGAAUCCGCGAUUGACGCUGAUGCACGAAAGCGUGGGUAUCAAACAGGAUUAGAUACCCCUGUAGUC